rnacentral:rRNA from 1 species
AUUGAACGCUGGCGGCAGGCUUAACACAUGCAAGUCGAGCGGAGAGAGGUAGCUUGCUACUGAUCUUAGCGGCGGACGGGUGAGUAAUGCUUAGGAAUCUGCCUAUUAGUGGGGGACAACAUUUCGAAAGGAAUGCUAAUACCGCAUACGUCCUACGGGGGAAAGCAGGGGAUCUUCGGACCUCACGCUAUCAGAUGAGCCUAGGUCGGAUUAGCUAGUUGGUGAGGUAAAGGCUCACCAAGGCGACGAUCCGUAACUGGUCUGAGAGGAUGAUCAGUCACACUGGAACUGAGACACGGUCCAGACUCCUACGGGAGGCAGCAGUGGGGAAUAUUGGACAAUGGGCGAAAGCCUGAUCCAGCCAUGCCGCGUGUGUGAAGAAGGUCCUCGGAUUGUAAAGCACUUUAAGUUGGGAGGAAGGGCAGUAAGUUAAUACCUUGCUGUUUUGACGUUACCAACAGAAUAAGCACCGGCUAACUUCGUGCCAGCCGCCGCGGUAACAC